rnacentral:lncRNA from 10 species
CCGAGAUUGAGCCACUGCACUCCAGCCUGGGCAACAGAGCAACACUCUGUCUCAAAAAAACAAAACACAACAAAACAAACCCACAAAUAUGUUAUCUUACAGUUCUAUAGACCAGAAGUCCAACACAGGUCUCACCAGGCUAAAAUCAAGCUGUUAACAGGGCUGCUUCCUCACUGGGAGCUUUAGAUGGGAAUCUGUUUCCUGCUCAUUAGGUUUAUUCACAGACUUUAGGGCCAUGCAGUUGUAGAACUGAGGUCCCCUUUCCCUUGUAGUUGGCUGGUGGUUCCCUUCCUCCAUUUUCAAAGCCUGCAAUGGAGGGACAGGCUCUUUUCAUGUCACAUUCCUCUGACCCAUUCUUCUGUCUUCCUCUUCUACUGCUGACAAUUCAUGUGAUUAGACUGGGCUCCCCUGGAUAAUCCAGGAUACUCUCCUCAUCUCAAAGUCCAUACCCUAAGCACAUGUACAAAGUCCCCUUUGCUAUGUAAGGUAACAUAUUCACAGGUUCCAAGGAUUAGGAUGUGAACAUCUUUGAGGAACCAUCAUUCUGUCCACCACAAGGGCUUUGAGCAAUGGAGCAACUGCUCACUCUGCAGCCAAGAAUGUGUCAGUCUAGUUGCUCUGUUGAAAAUAGUUGGGAGUGGGAGGAGGAAGGCCAGGGAGGAUAGGGCAAGAAGCAGGAAGCUGGUGUAGAGGCUAACACGAUAAUUCAGGGGACAAAUAAUGGUAGUUUCAACCAAGGUGGGGGGUGACUCUGGAAGAGUCAAGGCUAGAUAAGGUGACAAUAGGUUUUAGGUGUCAAGUUGGCUAAGCUACAGUCCUCAGUUAUUCAGUCAAACACUAAUCUGGGUGUUGCUGUGAAGACAUUUUACGGACAUGAUUAAAGUCCCUCAUCAACUGACUUUCAGCCAGGGAGAUAAUCCUAGAUUGAAGGUGGGCCUGAUCCAAUCCAUUGAAAGGCCCUAGAAGAGCUGAGCGUUCCCUGAUGAAGAAAUUCUGCCUGUGGAUGGCAAUUCCGCUCAUGCCCAGGAGUUCCAACCUGCUCUUUCUGACGGUGUGCCCUAUGGAUUUCCCACUGGCCUAACCAGCCCCAUGAUUAUGUGAGGCAGGAGAAUCGGGCCUGGAGGCAGGGAACCUCAGGGCUUCCUAGAACUAAAUCAAAUGGAAACACUUCAGCUAUGACAGGAACUACACUCGUCAUUUACAUAGAAUGUACACCAAAUACAUAACUUUGUAACCUCACUUUAGCCUCUUCAUUUACAUAGGGCGUACACCAAGUAACCAAUGGAAACCUCUAGAUGGUAUUUAAACCCCAGAAAAUUCUGUAACCGGGCUCUUAAGCCCCUAUGCUCAGCCGCUCCCACCCUGUGGAGUGUACUUUUGUUUUCUAUAAAUCUCUGCUUUUGUUGCUUCAUUCUUUCCUUGGUUUGUUUGUGUGUUUUGUCCAAUUCUUCGUUCAAGAUGCCAAGAACCUGGACACCCCCAACUGGUAACAUAUGUAGGGCAAUUCCUCUUAAUAUGACUCUCCUACUGGUUCAGUUUCUCUGGUUGAACCCUGACUGAUACAUCCUGAAUAAGUUUGAAUGUGGAGCUGACCGGCUAAGCUAGUGUAUUGGAAGUGGGAUGUGAGAAAGUGGAGUCCAGGAUGAUGCCAAAGUUUUUGCCCCGAGCAGCCAGAAGGAUGGCUUAGGUAUCUCCUUCUAAGGUAGGAAUCACGAAUGCAAAAGCCACCUACAAAAGCCUGUUCAAGGGAUGGCAAAGGAAGAUGCCCAGUUUCCCCCAAGGAAGCCCUUUCAGACGGGGGAUGUGUAUAGGCAGGAAUGGGUUGGAGUGGCUGGCCAGCCCUGAUGUGGGCAAGCUCCAAUUUAAGGGGGUGAAAUAGGUAAUAAAGUCACUGCUGUGCUCCAUGCCACUCAUCCAGAAACACUAGUGGUUUUCCAGUGCAUUCUGGAAUCCUCAGGAAAUCUGGAGAUCUUUUUACUGUUCUCUGCUGUGAACCCCACCUCCCCUGCUGCUGUGUGCUCUGGGAAUGAGUUAGCUGAACCCUGAGCCAAAAACCAACAAGGAGUGCUGAAUAGAGACUUUAUGGAGUUGCUCUGUGGGCUUUUUUUCUUGUGAAGGAACAGGGUGUGCUUGAAAGUAAAAAGUGAGUUAUUUGGUGUUGUUGUUGUUGUUAUUGUUGUUUAAAUCUUCCUGGAAGGCAGAAAGAAAGAGAUAAAAAGGAAAAAACAGCAUUUGUCACUUAUAGUGCUCUGGUUAGCACAGUAGCUGGGCCCCUGAACCCUCUACAGGCCUCCCAAGCUGGCACUGAAUAAAAUGUGAGAAAUGAAAGGAACUUUUCCGUGAGUCUGGCAGCGCCGACAGACACUGAGGUGGCAGAGCUGUCUGGUCCCAGUCCACAUGCAGAGGCCUGCAGCUCCUCCUUCCAGCCCGCACCCACCAGAGCUUCUCAGACGGGCCGUGUCCUGAGAAGGUUGUUGCCAAUGUAGAUGUUUGAGAGGCUCACUGAUGAACAAAUCAACAGAGCAGAUUUAAUCUGAAGAGAUCCAAAUAUUGUGCUUCUUUGGACUCAUAGAAAUGGCGAAAGAUUUAACAUCAGGAAGUACUUAAGUCAGCUAAUUUCUAGAGCCUUCUUCCUCCCUGUCACUUGAUUCUAGAUAGGAUCACCAGUUAGACAUCAGAACCAGAUCUUUUUAUCCAGAGAAGUACCAGUUUGUUGUUUUUCCUUCCGAAGCCAAGUCCUCGAGUUUCAGGUAGACUUCAGUUGAUUUCUGCGAGGUCUUUGCUUUCUCUCUGCCAGAAUAAUCACUGCUGAGGAAAGCAAAAAGCCCCGAAGAGCCUGGCUUGGAAUAAAAACAUGCACCAUACAAGAUUUUUAUGAAGAUUAAAUAACUUGGGCUAAAAUAUUCUGGAAGCUGCCAAGGGCUCUACAGAUGAGCUAUACAGAGGCAUUUGCUGAAAACUGGCCUGGAUUGACAAGCGCAAUGCAAACGUGGCUGCGGCAGUUCCAGGCAUCACAUGGUAACAAGAUCACAUCCAGUGAAGAAGGAAUUCUCAUAAGACAGUCAGCAGAUUUUGCAGGUUUUCAACUGAUUGGAUGAGGUUCACCUACAUUAUGGAGGACAGUCUGCUUUACUCAAAGUCCAUCAAUGUAAAUGUUAGUGUCAUCUAAAAGUACUCUCACAGAAAGACCCAUAAUAAUGUUUACCCAAAUAUCUGGGCACACUGUGGUUCAUCCAAGAUGACACAUAAAAUUAACCAUCAUGGACAUCUUAAUUUGAGGCAGCCAGUGUGUCUGCACUCUAGGGGAAGGGUCGGCAAACUACAGUCCACAGGACAAAUCUGUUUUUGUAAGUAAAGGUUUUGGGAAUUCAGCCACACUUGUUCAUGUACAUAUUGUCUAUGGCUGCUUUUGCAGUACCAUGCCAAAACUGAGUGUUCUAAUGAGACCAUAUGGCCUACAAAACCGAAAUUUGACUCUGUCUGUACAGAAUGGCUGAUCCCUGUUUUAGGCAGUUAUGUGCCCAGCUAAAUACUGGGAUUAUUUAGAGAGAGAGAAAGGAAAUUGUGGUAGGCAGAUAGCAAUCUUGAUCCACAGCAGCAUAAAGGACUUGCUGCUGAGAUCUUCUAAGAAAUCUCCCAGCCAUUCAGCAGCAAUUUUUUUGUGCAAUCUAUGAGAUACUGAAGGAAUUACAAAGAAGUACAAGCCAUUUCCCCCAAUCUCAGGAACUUAGUGGAUUAACUUUGUGGAAAGCAAUGGUCUUUGGACCCAGAGAGGGCUGAGUUUAGGCUGAAUUAUUAGCCAUGUGAUCAAACUUCUCAAAACUUCAGUUUUCUCAUCUCUAAAAUGAGCAUGGCCCUAUUACCUCAUCAGGUUGCUGUAUAAAUUAAAUAAGGUCAUUUAUAUGGUGUCUAGCAUAUCAUAAACCCUUUCUUCUUGUCUGAUAGUGAAAACAAUGAUAACUAAUAGUAAUUAAACUUUAUCUGUGUGCUGGGCUCUAGGCAAGGGUUCUUCAUGUAUUAACUCAUUUAAUCCUCACAACAGCUCUUCGAGGUAGGAACAAUCAUUAUCCCCAUUGUAUGAAUGAGAACAUUGAGAGAUGAGGUAUCUUGGCAAAGAGUGCCUAGUUAGAGCAGAGCUGUGAUUCAAACCCAGCUUGCCUGAUUUCUGAUCCCAAGAGCCUGCCCGCCAGUCUGUCCCACAGCCUUCCCAUGUCAGAGCCCUCCUGCCAUCAUCUCCUUCCCCCUCUGGCUGUAAGACAUUCACAGUGUAACUGAGAAAGCAGAGCACAUUCAAAUAAAAAACAAAUUCAUAACAUAAGGCAGUGGAGGUGAAGUGCCAAGUGAGCGGUAUCACUUAGAUACUGAGAGGUUCCAGUCCCCCAGAGCGGUCAGGGGAGGUAUCAAAGCAGGGAUGGGGCCAAAUUGGGUCAUGAUGGACCUACAGGAUUUAGAAGACAGGAAGACACUGUGCAGCCAUAGGGAGUGGAGUGGGCAAGGCUUGGAGGUGGGAAAGAAAUAGCACAAUUAAGGAAUAACAGGUAAAUAAUCCUGGCUAAAUCACAGGAUUCUUACCGGGAGUCCAGAGAGAGCAAUUUGGAAAUGAAGAUUAGAAUUAAAUGAAGGAGCUUGAAUGUCUGUCUAAAAAGCUUCACUGUAUUCGGUAGACACUGAGUAGUCAUUGGAAGGUUUUGAAUGGUGAAAUCACAUGAUGGCAGCAGUGUCUUUAAGAAUAAUGUGGUGGUUUUGGGAGUGAUGACUGAGGCCCAGAGGCUGGGAGACUAGUUGAGAGGCUUUUGAAAUGAUCUAGACAUGACGUAAUGAGAACUUGAAGUGGAGUGUUAGCACAGGCAUGGAUGGAAUGGCAGGAAGGUAGGAGACAUCACAUGAGCAGAACCGGGGCACUUGGUGACUUCGUCUGGGAGUGAGGAGGGGGAGGGGCAGGAUGACUGCCAGGCUUUCAGCCUGGGUGAUGGGAGAAUUUUAUUCUAAAUAGAAGCAGAAGAGGUAAAGGGGAGCUCCAUCUGCCACCCCACCUCCAUGAGGUCUCUGUCUCCACUGAGCAUCUUCACUUACUAGCCGUCACCAGAUACCUGUGAGCAGCCAGCCAUCUCCUCUUUCUUCUUUGCUGCAAGGUGCCACUUCCACCAGAGAAGAACCUAGGGCAGUGAGGAAGCAUGGCCUUUGGGUCAAAGAGGUAGAAUUUAUAUCUGCUCCAUCCGUCACUGGCACUGUAACCUUGAGCACAUCUCAACUGCCCUGAGAUUUAGUCUCUUUAAACUAGGGAUGACAAUACCUACUUGAUAGAGUACUUGCGAAUUAUAUAACAAACUCAAAUCAUUUAGUAUUGCGUCUGGCACGAAGUAGAUGCUCAAUCAUAAUGGCUAACACACUGUGCUUGAAACAGGUACUGCUUUAACUGCUUUACAUCGAUUCACUUGUUUACUCCUCUCAACAGUCCUGCAAGGUGGAUAUCACUCUCACCUUCAGCGCACAAAGAAAGGAGGUAUACAGAAGACACAGAACUCACCAAAGUCACAGGAACUAGGUGAGGAUGAACCAGGCUGCAUCCAAGCAGCCCAGCUUCAGGGUCUGUAUUCUUUGCCACUACCCAGAACUUUUACCAAUAAGCAAAGCUAUUGUUUGCAAUAACAGGAAGCAAAAAUAGCAAAAAGUUCCCUUUAAGGGGGAGUGUUAUAAUAUACUUAACAAUCAGAAUGGCUGAAGCACUGAUCUGUGAGAGUGGCUACUGGUCAUAGCCUGGAGCUGGUCUUUUAGGUCCUCUUUGGUUACUGGAUCCUGGGAGGAUGGAUGAGGAAGUGGUCUCAGGCAAGGGGUGGAGUUAAGUGGCUGUGGAAGGUACUUUGGAGGCUCAGGCAGCAGCUUUUUUUCCCCUUAAACUUUUGUUUUAAGUUCUAGGGUACACGUGCAGGAUGUGCAGUUUACAUAGGUAAACGUGUGCCGUGGUGGUUUGCUGUACAGAACAAACCAUCACUCAGGUAUUAUUAAGCCCAGCACCCAUUAGCUAUUCUUUCUGAUGCUUUCCCUCUCCCAACUUCCACCCGACAGGCCCCAGUGUGUGUUGUUCCCCUCCCUCUGUUCUCAUUGUUCAGCUCCCACUUAUAAGUGAGAACAUGUGGUGUUUGGUUUUCUGUUCCUGCGUCAGUUUGCUGAGGAUAACAGCUUCCAGCUCCAACUAUGUCCCUGCAAAGGACAUGAUCUGAUUCCUUGUUAUGGCUGCAUAGUAUUCCAUGGUGUAUAUGUAACACAUUUUCUUUAUCCAGUCUAUUGUUGAUGCACAUUUGGGUUGAUUCCAUGCCUUUGCUAUUGUAAAUAGUGUUGCAAUGAACAUACAUCUUUAUAUAUGAAUAUAUGUAUCUUUAUAAUAGAAUGAUCUAUAUUCCUUUGGGUAUAUGCGCAGUAAUAAGAUUGCUGGGUCAAAUGGUAUUUCCGCUUCUAGAUCUUUGAGGAAUCGCCACACUGUCUUUCACCAUGGUUGAACUAAUUUACAUUCCCACCAACAGUGUAAAAACGUUCCUUUUUCUCCACAACUUUGCCAACAUCUGCAGUUUCUUGACUUUUUAAUAAUUGCCAUUCUGACUGGCAUGAGAUGGUAUCUCAUUUUGGUUUUGAUUUGCAUUUCUCUGAUGAUCAGUGAUGUUGAGCUUUUUUUUUUUUUUUUUUUUUUUUGAGACGGAGUCUUGCUCUGUCACCCAGGCUGGAGUGCAGUGGCACAAUCUCGGCUCACUGCAACCUCUGAGCCCCCCUCCCUCGGGUUCAAGUGAUUCUCCUGCCUCAGCCUCUUGAGUAGCUGGGAUGACAGGUGCCUGCCACCGUGCCCAGCUAAUUUUUGUAUUUUUAGUAGAGACGGGGUUUCACCAUCUUGGCCAGACUGGUCUUGAACUCCUGACCUCGUGAUCCACCCGCCUCGGCCUUCCAAAGUGCUGGGAUUACAGGCAUGAGCCACUGCGCCUGGCCUGAGCUUUUUUUUAAUGUUUGUUGGCCGCAUUAAUGUUUUAUUCUGAGAAGUGUCUGUUCAUGUCCUUUAGGGCAGCAGCUUUAAACAACUCAUACAGAAAGUUCAAUAUCUUAACUUCCAGUGUGGCAGGAUGGGUGUGCCCUGGGUGAAUACCAGAACUGGUUGUCAUUUUUCAGUGUUUCCUGAUCAACCUGUGGACAAAACAAACUGAUUUUUAAGGACAUUCUCAUUGUUUAAUGUUAUAUUGAUUUUAAAAAUAUAUUUUAUUAUUAAUACCAUGUUUAAAUUGUUUUUUAAAAAGACUUAAGGCAGCUUGUAGUUUAAAAAAACCCUUACAAAUAAAGUCAUUA